rnacentral:rRNA from 1 species
GACAGAGGGUGCAAACGUUGUUCGGAAUUACUGGGCGUAAAGCGUGUGUAGGUGGCUGCGAAAGUCGGAUGUGAAAGCCCUGGGCUCAACUCAGGAAGUGCACCCGAUACUGCGUAGCUAGAGUACCGGAGAGGUUGGUGGAAUUCUCGGUGUAGAGGUGAAAUUCGUAGAUAUCGAGAGGAACACCUGUGGCGAAGGCGGCCAACUGGACGAGUACUGACACUGAGACACGAAAGCGUGGGGAGCAAACAGG